rnacentral:rRNA from 1 species
UUGCCCGAAUCCUGACACAGGGAGGUAGUGACAAGAAAUAACAAUACAGGGCUACUUCUAGUCUUGUAAUUGGAAUGAGUACAACUUACAUCUCUUCACGAGGAUCAACUGGAGGGCAAGUCUGGUGCCAGCAGCCGCGGUAAUUCCAGCUCCAGAAGCGUAUAUUAAAGUUGUUGCAGUUAAAACGCUCGUAGUCGGGUUUCGGGUCGGGCCGAGCGGUCUGCCGAUGGGUAUGCGCUGUUUGGCGCGGCCUUCUUUCCGGAGACCGCGGCUACUCUUAACUGAGCGGGCGUGGGAGACGGAUCGUUUACUUUGAAAAAAUCAGAGUGUUUCAAGCAGGCAGCUCGCUCUUGCAUGGUACAGCAUGGGAUGAUUGAAUAGGACUCCGGUGCUAUUUUGUUGGUUUCGAACACCAGGAGUAAUGAUUAACAGGGACAGUCAGGGGCACUCGUAUUCCGUCGAGAGAGGUGAAAUUCUCAGACCAAUGGAAGACGAACCACUGCGAAAGCAUUUGCCAGGGAUGUUUUCACUGAUCAAGAACGAAAGUUAGGGGAUCGAAGACGAUCAGAUACCGUCGUAGUCUUAACCAUAAACCAUGCCGACUAGGGAUUGGAGGGUGUUCGUUUCGACCUCUUCAGCACCUUACGGGAAACUAAAGUCUUUGGGUUCCGGGGGGAGUAUGGUCGCAAGGCUGAAACUUAAAGGAAUUGACGGAAGGGCACCACCAGGAGUGGAGCCUGCGGCUUAAUUUGACUCAACACGGGGAAACUUACCAGGUCCAGUCAUUGUUAGGAUUGACAGA